UUGUUUGCAGUGGUGUCACAGGCCUGUAUAAUGCCUACGUCUUGCGUCGCGUAUGCUGCCUAAAAUAAUUCAGACCGAGAGUUGUACCAUAAAGUAGUUUUUCUUAAGGAGAAAAAUGUAAGAAAUUAACCGAAAAACGCCGUCAAAAUGGCGUCCAACUCCCACCGACUGUUCGGAGGAACGGAGUCGGAAAUGCCUCGUGUUGUGUGUGCAGUCAUCAGUUCGUCAAAGUCCAUAUCAGAUGCCUCAUGUCCACCAAGAAGAGAGGGUGAAAUCCAGAGAUGAUCAACAAAGACACACUGAUGGUGCAGAGAUCUUCCUGUUUCUCCAUCAGCCCAGAGUCUAGAGCCCAGAGCAAGAGGACAUCACUGAGAUGUUUCAAGAUUGAUAAGAAGGAAGAGGAGCAAGCUGUAAGCUGCCAUGCUGCGGAUGAAGUUGUACCGUGCCUGAAAAGUGAAGUGAGGGAGUAUCAGAAUAAACUGUUAUGCGAGCACUGAAAAAUAAGAUGAACUGGUGAGCCAGCAGCUGAGACUUCUGAGCUGCCCACAGGAUGUACUCUCUCACAUAACCCAUCUACACCAAGAUGGAAGGGGAAAGGGGAAAGGAGCGAAGCACUUUGACCCCAUACUGGGCUGUGAGGGGGUGAGGAGGGUACAUGGAGGAGAAGUAGGACAGGCCGGUCGGGGGAUCUGCCGGGGCCCAGCACAAGAUAUGACUCAGCUCUGGAGAGUCAGCAUCAAUUGUGUGCCAUGUCACCAGGAACUGAGUAAAAACAAAAAAGAGAGAAGCAGCUGCAGGGCGAGGUAAGGUGCUAUGCUCCAGGCCAGGUUGACGUUGUCCUUCCACUGUUUUUCCGUCAGACUGAUGUACUUGGACCUCCAGUUUGCAAUGCUGGUCUCCACCGACUGUUCAGUAGCAAUAGCAAGC